ACCCUUCCAUUAUAGUGAUUAGUGAAGCUGCCUGCUAUGUUGUAGGGUCUGGGUUCAAAUCCCGGAAAAGGCA